UGCCUCAGUAACGGCGAGUGAAGCGGCAAGAGCUCAAAUUUGAAAUCUGGCCCCUCCGGGGUCCGAGUUGUAAUUUGCAGAGGAUGCUUCGGGUGCGGCCCCUGUCUAAGUGCCCUGGAACGGGCCGUCAGAGAGGGUGAGAAUCCCGUCUUGGGCAGGGUGCCCGUGCCCGUGUGAAGCUCCUUCGACGAGUCGAGUUGUUUGGGAAUGCAGCUCAAAAUGGGUGGUAAAUUUCAUCUAAAGCUAAAUACCGGCCGGAGACCGAUAGCGCACAAGUAGAGUGAUCGAAAGAUGAAAAGCACUUUGAAAAGAGAGUUAAACAGCACGUGAAAUUGUUGAAAGGGAAGCGCUUGCAACCAGACUCGGCCUCGGGGUUCAGCCAGCAUUCGUGCUGGUGUACUUCCCCGGGGCCGGGCCAGCGUCGGUUUGGGCGGCCGGUCAAAGGCCCCAGGAAUGUAUCGUCCUCCGGGACGUCUUAUAGCCUGGGGUGCAAUGCGGCCAGCCUGGACCGAGGAACGCGCUUCGGCACGGACGCUGGCGUAAUGGUCGCAAACGACCCGUCUUGAAACACGGACCAAGGAGUCUAACAUCUACGCGAGUGUUCGGGUGUCAAACCCGUACGCGCAGUGAAAGCGAACGGAGGUGGGAGCCCCCCCGGGGCGCACCAUCGACCGAUCCUGAUGUCUUCGGAUGGAUUUGAGUACGAGCGUAGCUGUGGGGACCCGAAAGAUGGUGAACUAUGCCUGAAUAGGGUGAAGCCAGAGGAAACUCUGGUGGAGGCUCGCAGCGGUUCUGACGUGCAAAUCGAUCGUCAAAUUUGGGUAUAGGGGCGAAAGA
rnacentral:rRNA from 1 species